rnacentral:rRNA from 1 species
AUUGAACGCUGGCGGCAUGCUUUACACAUGCCAGUCGAACGGUAACAGGCCGCCAGGUGCUGACGAGUGGCGGACGGGUGAGUAAUGCAUCGGAACGUGCCCAGUCGUGGGGGAUAACUACUCGAAAGAGUAGCUAAUACCGCAUACGAUCUAUGGAUGAAAGCGGGGGACCGUAAGGCCUCGCGCGAUUGGAGCGGCCGAUGUCAGAUUAGGUAGUUGGUGGGGUAAAGGCUCACCAAGCCAACGAUCUGUAGCUGGUCUGAGAGGACGACCAGCCACACUGGGACUGAGACACGGCCCAGACUCCUACGGGAGGCAGCAGUGGGGAAUUUUGGACAAUGGGCGCAAGCCUGAUCCAGCAAUGCCGCGUGCAGGAAGAAGGCCUUCGGGUUGUAAACUGCUUUUGUACGGAACGAAACGGCUCUGGUUAAUACCCGGGGCUAAUGACGGUACCGUAAGAAUAAGCACCGGCUAACUACGUG